rnacentral:siRNA from 1 species
AUGAACUGUCUUUGACUUACCAAU